rnacentral:rRNA from 1 species
ACUCCUACGGGAGGCAGCAGUGGGGAAUAUUGCACAAUGGGGGAAACCCUGAUGCAGCCAUGCCGCGUGUGUGAAGAAGGUCUUCGGGUUGUAAAGCACUUUCAGUAGGGAGGAAGGUAGUGUAGUUAACACCAGCAUUAUUUGACGUUACCUACAGAAGAAGCACCGGCUAACUCCGUGCCAGCAGCCGCGGUAAUACGGAGGGUGCGAGCGUUAAUCGGAAUUACUGGGCGUAAAGCGCAUGCAGGCGGCCUGUUAAGUCAGAUGUGAAAGCCCGGGGCUUAACCUCGGAAUUGCAUUUGAAACUGGCAGGCUAGAGUCUUGUAGAGGGGGUUAGAAUUUCAGGUGUAGCGGUGAAAUGCGUAGAGAUCUGAAGGAAUACCAGUGGCGAAGGCGGCCCCCUGGACAAAGACUGACGCUCAGAUGCGAAAGCGUGGGAGCAAACAGGAUUAGAUACCCCGUGGUAGCGACUGA